UUAAAAGAUUUUUAUUUUUCAAAAUCAUAUACAUUGUUAUGUACAACUGACAAACAAAUUUCAAUGUAUUGCUUACAACCACAUAUCAUGUGGUUAAGUGUAAAAUGUUAUAACAUCACAAUAGAUGAUGAAUAAAGAGUCGAGAAAUAAAAAGGAUAUCAUGUGCACUACAUACAUAACAGAAAUCUAACAAAACAGGCUAUACCAGGAAGACUAAAAAGUGAGAUCAGGAGUUCAUCUAUGUACACAGUCCAGAAUGUUACUACAUAUCCAACCUCACACAGAGAAAAUCUCUUGUGUAAUAAGAACAUUUCCUAUUUUCCCUUGCAUAAUCUAUAAUCCAUCUCUAAUUUCUUUUCUGUUUAUUAUUUAAGUAAUAAUUUAUCCCUUUAUAGUUGCAUAUUCUAACGCAAAAACAUAUAAAAAUCAAUUUUAGAUUGUAUUCUUUUCAAUAGGAAUGACAGACCUUGCUACACGUUAUUACAAUAUCUGUUGGAAGGAAUUUCUUUUGCACCUCCACUCAUUAAUUUCUAAGGUUGGGCACCCUCCACUCAUUAAUUUCUAAGGUUGGGCACCCUCCACUCAUUAAUUUCUAAGGUUGGGCACCCUCCCACUCAUUAAUUUCUAAGGUUGGGCACCCUCCACUCAUUAAUUUCUAAGGUUGGGCACCCUCUACUCAUUAAUUUCUAAGGUUGGGCACCCUCCACUCAUUAAUUUCUAAGGUUGGGCACCCUCCACUCAUUAAUUUCUAAGGUUGGGCACCCUCCACUCAUUAAUUUCUAAGGUUGGGCACCCUCCACUCAUUAAUUUCUAAGGUUGGCCACCCUCUACUCAUUAAUUUCUAAGGUUGGGCACCCUCCACUCAUUAAUUUCUAAGGUUGGGCACCCUCCACUCAUUAAUUUCUAAGGUUGGGUAUCUGGUUGCAUGGCAUACUCUAUCAUAUUUCUAAUCAUUUGGUGAGUAGUAAUGAUAUAAAAGUAUUUUGCAUAGGAAUUUUGAUAUUUGGUUGUUUGUGCCUAAAAGGAAAUAUUGCCUUUCUUCUAUAUCAUAUCAUCAAACUAAUAACUAGAUCUGUAAAUGGAAAUAAAACCUUAAAAAAAAAAGAAAAAAGAAAAA